rnacentral:rRNA from 1 species
CCUACGGGAGACAGCAGUGAGGAAUAUUAGUCAAUGGGUGCUAGCCUGAACCAGCCAAGUAGCGUGCAGGAAGACGGCCCUAUGGGUUGUAAACUUCUUUUAUAUGGGGGUAAAGUGCAGUAUGUAUACUGAUUUGCAUGUACCUUACGAAUAAGGAUCGGCUAACUCCGUGCCAGCAGCCGCGGUAAUACGGAGGAUUCGAGCGUUAUCCGGAUUUAUUGGGUUUAAAGGGUGCGUAGGCGGGUGGAUAAGUUAGUUGUGAAAGUUGGAGGCUCAACCUUGAAAUUGCCGCUGAUACUGGUAGGCUUGAGUACAGUAGCGGUAGGCGGAAUGCGUGGUGUAGCGGUGAAAUGCUUAGAGAUCACGAAGAACCCCGAUUGCGAAGGCAGCUUGCUGGACUGUAACUGACGCUGAGGCUCGAAAGUGUGGGGAGCAAACAGGAUUAGAUACCCCGGUAGUC